UGAGCAUGUUGAUCUCUUUUGUGCCCACGUG
rnacentral:piRNA from 1 species